CUCUCCAGCACCAUAUAAAAUGGCACCAUGUCUUAUUACAGAGCUUUGAAGGUAGAGGGAAGGACCAGAGUUCAAGGACAGCUUUGUCUACAAAGCAAGUUCAAGGCUAGCCUCUGCCAUGUAAGUCCCAAUCAUAAAAAAGAAAAAGAAAGGGUAUUUUAGAAGGAUUUUAAGUUAAUAAAACAAUUCCAGUGAUAGCCACCUUGGAUGCAAAUGGCAGCUUUGAGAGACAUGGAGGUAGAUGACGUAUCUUAAACUCUUCUAUGAAUGCAGAGGUGUGACUUCUUGAGACAGAACUAUGACAUAGCAAGCCCUUGGAGAAACUUGGUGACCCAACCUAGAUAUGUGUGAGGAUAAAAUGUCCCUUUGGGUAAGUUAUGGCCUCUGGAAGUUCGUUUCUGAAAGCACCAAUAGCUUUCAGCCUUCCUGUGGUGUGCUGGGUUCUUCCCAGCCUCCUGGAGCCUCAUUUUCUGUUCAUUCAUGCGAUUACUUGGCUCUUCAUAGGAAAGGUUUCCUUUCAUUUUCAAAGUAUAUUUCACAUUCUGUGUCGCUAUCUAAGCUUCCAGGUGUAAAUCUGCAAGAAUAAGAAGCAGAUCUCAGAGGUAUUCUUGGUAUAGUAGAAAUUCCAUAUGAACGUCAAUUAUUGGUGGCCUGAGAAGCUGAAUAAUCUUGAAGACAUCUGUACACUGAUUUUUAACUAUUGAAACACCACGGGAGUACCUCUGUGCCUAAAGAAAACAAUUUAAAGACAUAUUGUUUCAAAUAACACCCUGAGAUUCUUUUUGUGUAGUAGACGCAGACUGUUUCUAUGGAAACGGGUUUUCUCUAUUUCGUUCUGCUGCCGCCAUCUAGAGGACAAGCGAAGUACAGCAGGGAGUGACACAUCAUGCCCCCUCCUCCUCCCCGGGCAGCUAAUCAGGACUGCAUGGGAUACCUCCGGACCACGGUGACCUUGGUACCUCCCCCAGUCUCUCUGCAAUACUUUUUCUUUUUUACCCCACUUAGCUGAACCACCAGGGGUUCUCACUAGAAGCUGGGCAGAUGGCUGUGACAUCCUCUGGAACUUUUUCCUGUCUCCAAAUUUGUGAGCUAAAAGACUUCUUUUCUGCAUCAAGUGUACCACCUCAGACAUUCUGUUAUAGAAACAGUAAGUCUUUCCACCUCAUCUGUUUUUAGGUCUAGAUUGGAAUACGAGAAGACCAAGUAGCAAUAAAGUUAUGCAUAUUUGAAGUUA